rnacentral:rRNA from 1 species
AUACGGAGGGUGCGAGCGUUAAUCGGAAUUACUGGGCGUAAAGCGCGCGUAGGCGGUUUAAUCAGUCGGAUGUGAAAGCCCCGGGCUCAACCUGGGAACUGCAUUCGAUACUGUUAAGCUAGAGUAUGGUAGAGGGAAGUGGAAUUCCAGGUGUAGCGGUGAAAUGCGUAGAUAUCUGGAGGAACAUCAGUGGCGAAGGCGACUUCCUGGACCAAUACUGACGCUGAGGUGCGAAAGCGUGGGGAGCAAACAGGAUUAGAAACCCGAGUAGUCC